rnacentral:rRNA from 1 species
UAGGGAAUCUUCGGCAAUGGGGGCAACCCUGACCGAGCAACGCCGCGUGAGUGAAGAAGGUUUUCGGAUCGUAAAGCUCUGUUGUAAGAGAAGAACGUGUGUGAGAGUGGAAAGUUCACACAGUGACGGUAACUUACCAGAAAGGGACGGCUAACUACGUGCCAGCAGCCGCGGUAAUACGUAGGUCCCGAGCGUUGUCCGGAUUUAUUGGGCGUAAAGCGAGCGCAGGCGGUUUAAUAAGUCUGAAGUUAAAGGCAGUGGCUUAACCAUUGUUCGCUUUGGAAACUGUUAAACUUGAGUGCAGAAGGGGAGAGUGGAAUUCCAUGUGUAGCGGUGAAAUGCGUAGAUAUAUGGAGGGACACCGGUGGCGAGAGCGGCUCUCUGGUCUGUAACUGACGCUGAGGCUCGAAAGCGUGGGUAGCAAACAGG